GGGGAAUUUUGGACAAUGGGCGCAAGCCUGAUCCAGCAAUGCCGCGUGCAGGAUGAAGGCCUUCGGGUUGUAAACUGCUUUUGUACGGAACGAAAAGCCUCUCUCUAAUACAGGGGGGUGAUGACGGUACCGUACGAAUAAGCACCGGCUAACUACGUGCCAGCAGCCGCGGUAAUACGUAGGGUGCAAGCGUUAAUCGGAAUUACUGGGCGUAAAGCGUGCGCAGGCGGUUUUGUAAGACAGGCGUGAAAUCCCCGGGCUCAACCUGGGAACGGCGCUUGGGAAGGAAAGACUAGAGUACGGCAGAGGGGGGUGGAAUUCAACGUGUAGAAGUGAAAUGCGUAGAGAUGUGGAGGAAAACCAAUGGCGAAGGCAGCCCCCUGGGUCGAUACUGACGCUCAUGCACGAAAGCGUGGGGAGCAAACA
rnacentral:rRNA from 1 species